UUUUUGGUGGUAUAGUGGUGAGCAUACCUGCCUUCCAAGCAGUUGAUCUGAGUUCGAUUUCCGGCCAACACA
rnacentral:tRNA from 1 species